ACAAAGGCUUAGUUCAGAAUUAACAAGCUGAUAAAAUACGUAGCUGUGCAUUUUUAUAAGAAUCUGUGAUGGGUCACAUCACCACGUUGUCAUAGUAAUGAGAAAUACAGAUGUCAAAUCCAAACCAGAACGUGGUUUGAUUUUGAGAAAGAUUUUACUAUAGCAGCAUUCAGGAGCCUUGGAUGUACUACCUUCCAACAGAUUACUUAGACUUCGGUGGCCAGAAACCCAGCACAGAGAACCACUGCACCCCUCAGACUGCUGGUUUCAAUGGAUAAGGAACGUUGCCUUCUCAACACCAAAGCCAGCCUCUCUCCUUCACUCCCUCCCUCAGUGGUACUGAAACUAAGCUGGAUGAAGCCUCAGAAACCUGCUCAACUUCAAAGUGGGAUCCACUCUGCUACAAGGCCAAACCCUGGGGACAGCUCCAAGACCAGCAGCAGAGUGCCAAGGCAGGAGGGGUGUCUGCAUCUGCUUUAUGACCUUCUGCAAAUCACAACCCAUAAAGAUGAUCCUGUUUCCCUCCAAGAAGAUUGGAUGCAUGACCUGAUACUUCAACUUCUCAAGAAUAGAAUGAUGUGUGACAAUGUGAAAGCCAGGGAGACCAGAUGGUACCAGUGCCCAACGGCACCUACAGUUGCAGGGUUUCACUAUGUCCAGAGAUCCUGCAGACAAUCAAUGAGCCACAUUGAAGGAGCUAAUUUUGUCAAUUUGAUCUAGGGAAAAAUGUGACAGUAGAACCACUGGCAACAGUUUGUAUGUAAGGACAGGUGCUGUGCAUUACCUCAGAGAGCUGGACAACUCAAGGUCUUUCCCUAACAGUAAGUGCAUAUCUGCUGUCCCCUUGCUAACUGAGCUGCUGUGUGUGAGAUGGGCUGUAUAAAUGCAUGGAAUUGCAUACUCAGUAGGCUGUGAUAACUGUAGUCAGACAACUCUGCAAAAGGCUGCUUCUCUGAAAAAAGAGCUGAUCAUUUCUCAAUAUUAUUUUGCAUGACUUUGAUUUCAACAAAAGAAUUGAAAUUAUUCAGCACCAAUUCUCCAUUAAUUCAUUUUUCCUUUUUAGACUAUAUUUUUUGUUGGUAGAAUAUAAUGUAGUUGGUAGACAAGACUAAGAAAAUUAAUAUAUUGCUCAAUAAAUACCAAUAAUUUCUGGCUUUUGACAAUUAAUUUACUGGGAAGUAUUGUUUGCGUGGAAUCUAUUCUAUCUUGGAUUGGAAUUGUGUUCUAAUUUUGUGGCGGGCUUAGGGAAAUGGAAAAUCCAUUUACUCUCCAUCCUUGAACUGACCAGCUAACUACGCUUUAUUCCCACUUUGUCUGUAUAACUUCAUGUUCUACAAUAUUUGUUAAAGAAAAAAAAAAAAAAGCCUGAAUGUUAUUUCUGAAAGGUAGAAUGUUGAUGUGAUUCUAUUGUUUGAUGCUUUUAUAUUUCCAAAGCUAAUAA
rnacentral:lncRNA from 7 species